rnacentral:rRNA from 1 species
UACAGAGGUCUCAAGCGUUGUUCGGAAUUAUUGGGCGUAAAGCGCGUGUAGGCGGCUUAGCAAGUCGGGCGUGAAAGCCCUCGGCUCAACCGAGGAAGUGCACCCGAAACUGCUGAGCUUGAGUGCCGGAGAGGAUGGCGGAAUUCCCCAAGUAGAGGUGAAAUUCGUAGAUAUGGGGGAGGAACACCGGUGGCGAAGGCGGCCAUCUGGACGGUAACUGACGCUGAGACGCGAAAAGCGUGGGGAGCAAACAGG